rnacentral:rRNA from 1 species
GACGAACGCUGGCGGCGUGCCUAAUACAUGCAAGUAGAACGCUGAAGGAGGAGCUUGCUCUUCUGGAUGAGUUGCGAACGGGUGAGUAACGCGUAGGUAACCUGCCUGGUAGUGGGGGAUAACUAUUGGAAACGAUAGCUAAUACCGCAUAAUAACAGUUGUUGCAUGACAACUGAUUGAAAGGUGCAAUUGCAUCACUACCAGAUGGACCUGCGUUGUAUUAGCUAGUUGGUGGGGUAACGGCUCACCAAGGCGACGAUACAUAGCCGACCUGAGAGGGUGAUCGGCCACACUGGGACUGAGACACGGCCCAGACUCCUACGGGAGGCAGCAGUAGGGAAUCUUCGGCAAUGGACGGAAGUCUGACCGAGCAACGCCGCGUGAGUGAAGAAGGUUUUCGGAUCGUAAAGCUCUGUUGUAAGAGAAGAACGAGUGUGAGAGUGGAAAGUUCACAC